rnacentral:rRNA from 1 species
GAUGAACGCUGGCGGCGUGCCUAAUACAUGCAAGUCGAACGCGCAGCGAAAGGUGCUUGCACCUUUCAAGCGAGUGGCGAACGGGUGAGUAACACGUGGAUAACCUGCCUCAAGGCUGGGGAUAACAUUUGGAAACAGAUGCUAAUACCGAAUAAAACUUAGUAUCGCAUGAUACAAAGUUGAAAGGCGCUACGGCGUCACCUAGAGAUGGGUCCGCGGUGCAUUAGUUAGUUGUGGGUAAAGGCCUACCAAGACAAUGAUGCAUAGCCGAGUUGAGAGACUGAUCGGCCACAUUGGGACUGAGACACGGCCCAAACUCCUACGGGAGGCUGCAGUAGGGAAUCUUCCACAAUGGGCGAAAGCCUGAUGGAGCAACGCCGCGUGUGAUGAAGGCUUUAGGGUCGUAAAGCACUGUUGUAUGGGAAG